AUUGAACGCUGGCGGCAGGCCUAACACAUGCAAGUCGAGCGAGCGGCGGACGGGUGAGUACUGUCUGGGAAACUGCCAGAUGGAGGGGGAUAACUACUGGAAACGGUAGCUAAUACCGCAUACCAUCAGAUGUGCCCAGAUGGGAUGAGCUAGUAGGUUGGGUAACGGCUCACCUAGGCGACGAUCCCUAGCUGGUCUGAGAGGAUGACCAGCAACACUGGAACGGAGACACGGUCCAGACUCCUACGUGAGGCAGCAGUGGGGAAGAUUGAACAAUGGGCGAAAGCCUGAUGCAGCCAUGCCGCGUGUGUGAAGAAGGCCUUCGGGUUGUAAAGCACUUUCAGCGGGGAGGCGUUACCCGCAGAAGAAGCACCGGCUAACUCCGUGCCAGCAGCCGCGGUAAUUC
rnacentral:rRNA from 1 species